ensembl:lncRNA
GUGAGGAGGCUGGGUACUGGGGUUAGUUGAUAUGGAAACAGGUGAGGAGGCUGGGUACUGGGGUUAGGUGGUAUGGAAACAGGUGAGGAGGCUGGGUACCCAGGUUAGGUGAUAUGGAAACAGGUGAGGGGGCUGGGUACCCAGGUUAGGUGAUAUGGAAACAGGUGAGGGGGCUGGGUAACCCAGGUUAGGUGGUAUGGAAACAGGUCAGGGGGCUGGGUACCCAGGUUAGGUGGUAUGGAAACAGGUGAGGAGGCUGGGUACCCAGGUUAGGUGGUAUGGAAACAGGUGAGGGGGCAGGGUACCCAGGUUAGGUGGUAUGGAAACAGGUGAGGAGGCUGGGUACCCAGGUUAGGUGGUAUGGAAACAGGUGAGGGGGAUGGGUACUGGGUUUAGGUGGUAUGGAAACAGGUGAGGGGGCUGGGUACUGGGGUUAGGUGGUAUGGAAACAGGUGAGGGGGAUGGGUACUGGGGUUAGGUGGUAUGGAAACAGGUGAGGAGGCUGGGUACCCAGGUUAGGUGGUAUGGAAACAGGUGAGGAGGCUG